rnacentral:misc_RNA from 1 species
GAGUUCAUGCCCUCACGGGUAGAUCUCCCACCCUUGAAUAUUAUACCUUCGUUGCUUUGGCAGGCCGUGGAAACACCAUGGGCUCCGGCUGAUGCGUGCCUGCCAGAGUCCACCUAAACUCGUUUAAUUAGUGAUGUCUGAGAAAAAAUAAAUAGCAAAAAACUUUCAACAACGGAUCUCUUGGUUCU